rnacentral:rRNA from 1 species
UCGGGAAUAUUGCGCAAUGGAGGAAACUCUGACGCAGUGACGCCGCGUGCAGGAAGAAGGUUUUCGGAUUGUAAACUGCUUUAGACAGGGAAGAAAAAAGACAGUACCUGUAGAAUAAGCUCCGGCUAACUACGUGCCAGCAGCCGCGGUAAUACGUAGGGAGCAAGCGUUAUCCGGAUUUAUUGGGUGUAAAGGGUGCGUAGACGGGAAAUCAAGUUGGUUGUGAAAUCCCUCGGCUUAACUGAGGAACUGCAACCAAAACUAAUUUUCUUGAGUGCUGGAGAGGAAAGUGGAAUUCCUAGUGUAGCGGUGAAAUGCGUAGAUAUUAGGAGGAACACCGGUGGCGAAGGCGACUUUCUGGACAGUAACUGACGUUGAGGCACGAAAGUGUGGGGAGCAAACA